AUCUUCACAGAAGGCCUUGGAUGUCCGGUGAAACUUUAGUCAUUCUUCCACCUUCUUCUUUCAAUCGUUGAUGUUUAGGUUUUUUUCCACUAUCCUCAUAAGUUUUGUCUCGAAAAUUUAAGUGGUACUUUGAUUUUAUUUUUCGUUUUGAUUUUAGGUCUUAUUUUGUCCACUUAUUAUUCGAAUGGUUUGAUUUUUCAUUCAAUUUGUUGAUCUAUUCGGUUUCUGUGUUGUAGUUAUGUUUCAUGCACUGAAUUUAGAUUUAAUUUGAUGUUGUUUUGAUCCUUCGUAUUUUGCAGGGAUGAAGCGUAGGAACUUCAUAUUCAAAAUAUCUUCCCAAUUUCUCCAUUUCUCAUAGGGUAAGUUGCUGAUUUCUUGGUCUACGAUUUCAAUAUUGGAAAACAAAUUACACUCUUAAACUGUGUUUCAUCUUCUGUAAUUUGAUUGUAAGAGUUUGUUUUACUUUUUCCUUAGCAUAACAUUAUACUUGCUCAUAUCCGACUCUGUCCAUAAUCAAAUUAUGUGUACUAUCCAUAAUUCUAUUACAAUCUUUUUUGCUUUUGUGGCUCUCAAUUUCAUCAGGUUUUUUUCUGUAUCAAACAUUUUAGAAGUUACUACAUUUCUCUAUCUUGGUGUUUAUCUUAGCUCUUUGUAUUGGUGAGACUGUACUCUCAUUGUUUAUAAUAACCCAAAAAAAAAAUUGGGUUGCUUCUUCCUCUGUUGUAAGUUUGUAUACAUCUCAAUUAAUUUUCGAUGUUCUCAAAAAUGUAUAAACUCACUAAUGGAGCAUGUCUCUAAUGGUGAACAUUUUGGCUGCUCCUUUUUUAAAUGUUGAUGCACCUAAGGUGUUCGAUAGUAUGACAAAGCACUACACUAUUUCAAAUUUUCUUCUUUUUCUCAUCAGGUUUACUGUAACAUACUCCUCUACCAAUCAUCAAUCUGAAUGUUACAUUACUUAGUUUUAUUGGACAAGAUUAGAGAGCAAUAUGUGUGUUAUUUAUGGUUAUGUCCAAAAAGUUCACUUGAGAUGUGUAUACUUUGUAUGAAUGUAGUUCAACUACAGUUUGAUAUUGUUUGUCUUGACUUUGUGUCCAGCAAAAAAGUAGAAUAUAAUGUGACUUUUAGAAAAAAAAAAUUGUGACUAUUACUUUAACAAAUUGAGAACUACUUGCAACAGGAAUGUUGACAAAAAAAUUGAGAGUGUUGCAUGCCUUGAAGGAAGGUCACAGGUUCUAUCCUUUUUGCUAAAAAGUUUGGUUCCCACUGUUUGGGUUAGUUUCUGAACUAUCUUCAUGACUUCUCCCUGUUUUUCUCACUUUUUCAAAGUGUCAAAUAUCCUGUUGACGGAUAUCUGAUGGUAGUUUAUGGCUUGAGAGCCCUAAGACUUUUAAUUGGUCUCUCUAAUUUCACUAAUGUAAUCGCUAGAUAGUAAUUUACAACAAUGAAUAUACACUUCAAUCAUCUUAAAAGUCUUAAACAAUUACCUGAACAAGUUGGUAAUUUGUUUUAAACACAAAAACUAUAAUUAAUGUUGAUAAUAGGGAUGAUCGAAACAGUAUAUUAGAUACCAUAUAUUCUAACUUAAAAGGUCACAGUUGAUUCGCUAUUACAAGGUAUUCAAUAGUGUUUGUCUUAGCUGAAAAUACAUCUAUUUACUUGUAACAAUAGCUCACGUUUUCUGUCUCGCUGUUUAUAUAAUACUCCCCCUGUUUCAAUUUGUUUGUCCUAUUUUGACUUGACAUGAAGUUUAAAAAAUAUAAAAGAAUUUUGAGUCUUGUGGUCUUAAAUUAAAAGUUAUGUCAAAUGGACCAAAAUGUCAUCUAAUCUUGUGUUUUUAAACAUUUCAUGUAAAAAAUUGAAAUUGAAGAGUUGCUUAAAAAAGGAAAGAGACAUUCUUUUUGGGACUAAAAGGAAAGUAAGACAAAUAAAUUCUACCGGAUGGAGCAAUUCUUCUUUGUAAGUAUCACUUAUGUAUUAAUAACUGUUAUGUUAUUUAUUUGAUGGUAAAGAGGCAUGAAGCAUAAGGGAGAUUUCAUAAAGUUACUCUAAUUUAGAGAGGAAUCGUAACUUUAGUUAUUUUGUUACCAAUAGGCUUACAGAUUGAACAAAAGAAUUUAUAAAAUGAUGAUGAUGAUAGUCGAGAUAAUAUUUUUUGGAUAUCUGAGUGCUUUUUAUGGAAGAGGAAGAAAUUAUUGUGAAAAAAUUUUACAUUGGAUAUCUGAGUGCUUUUUAUGGAAGAGGAAGAAAUUAUUGUGAUAAAAUUUGACAUCUUAUUUCUAAUAUAUAGAGACGUGGUAACACAAAAAGAGGAAAAAAAUAUAACUCUUUGAAAAGCUUGAAUCUUUAAGCAUACUCUUGGCAACUUUUCUAACUGAUUCAAUUAACUCUUGAAAUGUUCCAAUUGUUAAAAAAAUAAAUAAGGGAAGAAAAGGUCAAAAAUUUACUAUUAUUUAAGUCCGGAAUUGUUGUGUAAGAUCGGUGAGUGGGCUUCCAUGUUGUUUGUCCUCUGUGGAAGUUCUACCCUCAAGUUUCCACGUUAGGUUCAUGUUCCCUAGAAUAGAAACUAGAAAGACAUAAUUGGAUAUAGUUGGUCAUUUUUGUAUUCUAUGGUGAUACAAAGCUUACAUUUUAAUCUGCUUUUUAUUCAUCUUGAUUCAGUAUUUUCACAUUGACAGGUGAUAUGAUAUGCUCUGCUUUUAUUUCUACAAAAUCAUUCAUCCAUAAUUGCAUUUAAGGUCAUUUGAAUUUUCGUGGAGUUGAUGUGAAAAAUGUAGCAAUAACAUAGAGGAAAGAACAUGCUGAUGAAAACACCUCUGCAGUAUGAGCUUAGUUUUCUUAAGAAUCUCCCCGAUACAUUUGUGUUUUCUAAGACAUUUAUAAUAUUUCGUUUGAAGCUUUCUUUGGCAAUGCCAACAUAAAUCGCCUUGGAUUCCUUCGAUUAUUUGAUGUAUGUUUCUCCCUAUCUCUUCUCAAAUAGGAUACCUUUUAUCACAUGUUUCUAACAAUAUAUUAGCUACAAGUUACAUGUCUUUUAAAUAGACAAAUAUUUUUAUCUAGCCUAACCGAUGUUUUAACAACAUGAUGAAAUUUUUAUAAAGUUAUAUUCAAUCUUCAUUUGAGAGUAUUUUUUUCUAGCAAUAUCUCAAAAUCUUUUUAGCUUCUCAACAAUACAGUACAUUAUAACUGGUGAUGUCACCUAAGGCACAUGAAAAGAGAGCAGUUUGAUUGCUACACUCUUUACUGGUAAGUUUGAUACUUGAGUUCUGUAGGAGUGAUGAAACAACUUACUUAUGUUAUAUUUCGGCUCCUCCAUUUCAUGUGCUAAUUUACAUGCAACCUAUACUAUAGUUAACCUAAUUCAACUCCUUUUAAGCUACAAUAAGAAGUUCUGCCAUGAGUAUACUUUACGAUUUUCAUUUUGUUUGGUGCUUAUUUUGUGCUCUUUGUAUAGAACAUAGCUAUUUGUGUAGUUUAUAUGUUCUAGGACCAAAGAGUCAAAGUUACACUUCUGAAGUUUAUACGUUAUAGGUUGGUGAUAGGGUAAGAAAUAAUAGUACAUGAAUGAUUAUGAGAUGACGGAAGCAAAAAUUAAUAAUAUGAUACAUGAUAUGUGUAAUGUUUUAUGAUUUUGUAACUUAUAUUGAUUGUUUCUCUUAGCUUUGCUUUUAUAGGAAUUCCUCUGUUGUGUUAUUAUCAAGUCAUGAUAUAUGAUUCAUUUAUCACAUUACGACAAAUUGAAUUUAUUAACUAGGACAGAGAAUGCAACCGACUCUUCUCGACAUCUGUCACUUCACUAGAUAUUAGACACCAGAUGAGAAAUUCAAGAACAAUGGACAUCUCUAUGUUUCCUUUUGAGAGUGAUUGCGUCACCUCACUUUAGUUUCAUGUUUUUUCGUUAGAGAAGAUCCAAUUAUUACCAAAUCAAAAUCGAAUUUAUAUGAGCAAAAGGUGUUUGCCUUUGUAGUUUUGCUGCAAUUGUGAGUGCUACUUUCAUUUAUCAAUUUCCACUUUUCGUUUAAGAUAUGGAACAGUGGAAGUAUUUCUGUUGAAUCUGAUUGGAUAAGUUCAAUUUUAAUAGGUACUACUUAUGUAAUUUUGUUUUGGAUAUGUGGAAUGCCUAUUAUUACCUACGAAGACAUUCUAACUUAAGUACUUAUUCA
rnacentral:lncRNA from 1 species